CAGCUGGGUCACUGACUGACUAAAAGCUAUACAGUGUGGCAGAUAAAUUCUGAGAAACAGAGGCUCACAGAAUCUAGAACUACAGUUCCAGAAUGACAGUUACAUAAUACACUGUAGUAAUUUCAAUAAAGAGAAAUUAUAGCUAAAUAAACAAGAUAUUUUAAGUUAUUAUUUUGUUUUUCUCCAAAAGGUCGUUACUGAAGAAAAACUAAUUUCUUGAACAUGUUUUCCUAUCUUCUGUCACAGGGGCGUGAGAAAGAUCCUACUUUUUACUAUACUGCAAGGAAGAAGAGCGCAACAAAGCAGAAAAGAGAAGGAUGUAUUCCGCGUCUGGGUUUAGCUGGUACAAAUUGGAAUAGAUUAAUAAUAUUCUCAGAUGUUCCUGGUCACCUGUGGGCCACUUUGGCAGUGAACAUUGAUGUUACUCCUGACAUUCACUGCAGAUGAAGAAAUAAAUGUUUAGAUCAUAACA
rnacentral:lncRNA from 1 species